rnacentral:rRNA from 1 species
AUUGAACGCUGGCGGCAGGCCUAACACAUGCAAGUCGAACGGUAACAGGAAACAGCUUGCUGUUUCGCUGACGAGUGGCGGACGGGUGAGUAAUGUCUGGGAAACUGCCUGAUGGAGGGGGAUAACUACUGGAAACGGUAGCUAAUACCGCAUAACGUCGCAAGACCAAAGAGGGGGACCCUCGGGCCUCUUGCCAUCGGAUGAGCCCAGAUGGGAUUCGCUUGUUGGUGGGGUAACGGCUCAUCAAGGCGACGAUCCCUAGCUGGUCUGAGAGGAUGACCAGCCACACUGGAACUGAGACACGGUCCAGACUCCUACGGGAGGCAGCAGUGGGGAAUAUUGCACAAUGGGCGCAAGCCUGAUGCAGCCAUGCCGCGUGUAUGAAGAAGGCCUUCGGAUUGUAAAGUACUUUCAGCGGGGAGGAAGGGAGUAAAGUUAAUACCUGUGCUCAUUGACGUUACCCGCAGAAGAAGCACCGGCUAACUCCGUG